rnacentral:lncRNA from 1 species
UGGGAGCUCCCAUGGAUCAAACUUGUAGAGAUCGACUUCGGCGAUGAUGGCGACGGGCAAAGGGGCGGAGGCCACCUUCUUCUUCAGGUAGUGCACCACCAGCUCCUCGUCGGUGGGGUGGAACCGGAACCCCGGCGGCAGCUGCGGCUGCUGCGAGCCGGUAGAUGAAUCGGUGCUCUCCAUCGAUAUGAUCUUAUAUUUGAUCGAUUAUCACCAAUUUGGAGUAGAUUAAUCUUAAUUCCCAGUGAUUAUUCAAGAGUUUGAUGAGAGAGGGGAGAGAGGACUAGCAGGGAGCAUGGCAAUGGUACAACACAAUAAAGCAAGAACAAAAACAAAAUAAUAAAAAGUAGAAAUACCAUGAGCUACAAAUAUGUUAUGGGUUUUGUAGUUGGCUACAGCCUCUGCUUUUUCUUAUAAACCGUAUAUACGCUCAAAUAUGCUACGCUGUGGCGCGGUGCUGCGUUGCGCGCUCCCUGACGUUAUGCGAUCCUCCAGUGAUAUCGCGCCACGUCACGGGGGGCGUAAUUUACCUGGGUGGUUGAGAGGGAGGGGAUUAGGGCUUAAUGGUGACGCCAUUAGGAAUUGAGAACUGAAAAUUAGGCGAUUAAUAGACCGACACGCACGUGAUGUGGAGGCGAAUGAGAGCGGGACACGUGGAGGUGUGGGGGCCCGCAUGGCGACCCACAGGCAAACAGAAAUAUUGUGAUAAGACGAAGGAUAAGUGUGAGGGGGGAAGUGGGUGGUGAAAUCCUCGAAUUGACGACGUACUAUAUCUCCACACAGGACACGACUCGACCAUUUUUUUCAUUAUCUUUUUUUUCGUUAAAUCAACCUUACUAAUUUUAAUAUCAACUUGUUUAAACUAAAUCAAUUCUUCUAAUAAAUCUCAGCUUUCAAAUCUUAUGUUUUCGAUUGAGUUCCACCAUUAAAAUAAAGAUAAUUAUUAUAUAAUGGACCUUAAUUAAUACUAGUAUUAUUUACCAAACUCUUAAAUUGGUUUAAAGAAAUACAUUUUCUGAUUAUGAAUUGAUGAGCCCUUAUAACAAUCAUUAAUUAAAAAUUAUAAAUUCAAUGUAAACAAAUCCUAAUUAGAUUAAUAAUAAAAAUAUUAAAAUAGAAAGAAUUCCUAAAACAUCUACGUACUUAGAUUUUACUUUAGUGGCGUUAAGGAGGUACUCACGAGUUGGCAUUAAACUUAUUGUUUGUUAAUACUUCAUUUAAUUAUUUUUGUAAUAGUGUGCGGGGAAGAGUUCAAUGAAGAACACUAAAUAUUCAAAGAACAAAGAACAAAUCUCAACCAUUGAUCUUAUUGAAUCUAACGGUCAACAUUUAUUUACGCCAUGUUCAACGGAUUUUUAUGUUGAACAUGUAGGGAGGUCGAAUCUCAGAACCCCAAAAAUUCAAAUGACUAAUAUUUUCAAUAUAAUUUGAUGAACAUGGGCGUGUUCGUGUUCUUCGUUGAACGCAANUGAAAUCGAACAUUAAUUAAUGACAUUCUAGCUAAUUAUUUGGAUUCAUAUUUUGAAACCUUUUUCUAAGCAGUGCUACUGCUAUACAAGUGGCAAUAGGUAGCUCUUUUCUUGCAAUUCCAUCACCAGAAAAUUUCUAAAGUACGAUACUAAGUUGGUGUAAGAAAACAAAUUGAGCCAUUAUAAUGGGAUAUAAUUGAUAAAAUUAAUAAUUUAUUUGUUAACAGAAAAUUACACAAUGCUUUAUAAGAAAAUAAACAGAGAACAAGAUAUGCAAGAAAUGUUAACUUGCAUAAAUUCAUGUUAAUAUUGAUCAAAAUAUCAUGAUGAUAUGAAUCUUAUGUUUAGGGUUUUCUGGGUGUGAAAGAAUCCCAUGAUCAAUCACAAAAAUGAAAUACACCUCAAGGAAGGAUGUUAAAUCAAUCAAUAUUGAUCAUAAAAAGAAAAACAUAAAUAUAUAUACGAUGAUACAGACAUAUAUAUACAAAACUAUAUUGUAAAAUUUGUAGGAAGAAAAUUACUAAUAUUGUAUUCUAAGGACAAUAUGAUUACUAAAAUGGAUUUAUUCAACUUCUCCACAACAAGAUCAGUACAAGAUUCCUAUAAUUAGUUUUUACACCUACUAAAUGACCAAAAAUAUAUGAUAAUAAACGAAAUAAAUAUAUAUAUUACAGCUAAUAACAUACUGUCUCAUCUCAUCUAUGCUAAAAUUACUAUAUAGAAUCCCCCUUUUCCCCAUAAACACGAGCUUGUAAAAAUAUAUUAAUUUGUGUAUAUUUUCCCCCUAUCUACAAACAAAAUCUGAUCCAACAAUAGUAAUUCUACGACUAAUUGAAUAAAAUCUUCAGCUCCUCCAACACAAGCAGCAUCAUGAUCUGUUUCCCCAGCUUGUUGCAUAAUUUAUAUUUAAAAAUGGAUUCAUCAAACUUACAGAUUAAUUCUAACAAUAUACACACAUAUAUAGAUAGAUAUAUGGUAUUUAAUCAUGUGUACCAAUUGACUUGAUGAUAGGGUUGCUGUCCGAAAACCCCGUCGCCGAGGUUUCCGAGCAUUGCCUGCUGCUGCUGCAGCGUGGGCGUCUGCGGGAGCUGGCUGAGGAUGGUGGCGAUGGAGUUGGUGGCGUCGUCGCUGGCGCCGCCUCUGGUGCCGCCGUCGCAGUUGUCUCCCAAGAAUCUCUUGGUGGAGGGGCGAGGGUGCCGGGGCCGGGGCCGGGGCUGGCGUCGUCGUUCCAGUAGAGGCUGGGGUUGAUGGUCCGCUUGAGGGUGUGGGGAGGGAGGAGGUGGAGCGCCGCCUUUGAGGAGGCCAAAUGGGGAUUCAUGGCGUCGCUCAUCAUCCCGUCGUAGAGGCUGUGGUCGCUUUCCAGAUAUUUGUGGUGGCCCACAGAAGGCAUGGAUAGAGUCUGAGGAUUAAUUGAUCCCAUCAGCUGAUCGUGUAUGUCGUCGCGCUCCUGAUCCAACGGCCGCUGCGCGUUGUUCUUCUUGUAUAUCCGACAUAGAACCCAGUCGUCCAGCUGCGCCAUCAUCACCAUUAAUCAUCAUCAAAUAUAUAUAUAGAGAGAGACAGUCACAGUCACAGUCACAGACAGAAAGUUACCCUUAGAGAUCCCUUUUUGUUGACGAAAUCACAACCGGGAGGCUUGGAGCUAGGCUUGUUGUCUACGAGCCUGUACUCAUGCAUGAUCCAGUUGGUCUUGAUCCCUUUGGGUGGCUUUCCUCCGUAGAAAACCAGGGCUUUCUUCACCCCGACCUUCUGCGUCCCGCCGCCCGUCAUCACCGGCUUGUCGGUCCCCGUCGCCUUCCAGUACCCGGACGUCGCCGCCCGGUUCGGCCGCGCCCCGUUCGGGUACUUGCGGUCACGAGGGCUGAAGAAGUACCAUUCCUGCUCUCCAAAUAUAGCCUUGCCUGGAGUUUCUUAUCUUAUUAUUAUGAGUUUAUCAAUUCUUUUUUUUUUUUUGAGGAAAAUGAGUUUAUCAAUUUGAAUAACACAAAAUUAAUAUUAUGUGAUUUACCUGGGAGCUCCCAUGGAUCAAACUUGUAGAGAUCGACUUCGGCGAUGAUGGCGACGGGCAAAGGGGCGGAGGCCACCUUCUUCUUCAGGUAGUGCACCACCAGCUCCUCGUCGGUGGGGUGGAACCGGAACCCCGGCGGCAGCUGCGGCUGCUGCGAGCCGGUAGAUGAAUCGGUGCUCUCCAUCGAUAUGAUCUUAUAUUUGAUCGAUUAUCACUAUCACUCCCAAUUUGGAGUAGAUUAAUCUUAAUUCCCAGUGAUUAUUCAAGAGUUUGAUGAGAGAGGGGAGAGAGGACUAGCAGGAGCAUGGCAAUGGUACAACACAAUAAAGCAAGACAAAAACAAA